GGUAUAGCUCAAUGGUAGAGCCCAUGCUUAGCAUGCAUGAAUCCUGGGUUCAAUCCCUAGAACCU
rnacentral:tRNA from 1 species